rnacentral:rRNA from 1 species
CAGCCGCCACGGUAAUACGAGGGGGGCAAGCGUUGUUCGGAAUUAUUGGGCGUAAAGGGCGCGUAGGCGGUUUGGCAAGUUUCGUGUGAAAUCUUCGGGCUCAACUCGAAGUCUGCACGGAAAACUGCCGGGCUUGAGUAUGGGAGAGGUGAGUGGAAUUUCCGGUGUGGCGGUGAAAUGCGUAGAUAUCGGAAGGAACACCUGUGGCGAAAGCGGCCCACUGGACCAUAACUGACGCUGAGGCGCGAAAGCUAGGGGAGCAAACAGGAUUAGAUACCCCUGUAGUCCCUGUCUCUUAUAC